rnacentral:rRNA from 1 species
UUCUCAAGGAAGAAGAUCUGACGGUACUUGAGGAAUAAGCCACGGCUAAUUCCGUGCCAGCAGCCGCGGUAAUACGGGAGUGGCAAGCGUUAUCCGGAAUUAUUGGGCGUAAAGCGUCCGCAGGUGGCCUUUCAAGUCUGUUGUUAAAACGUGGAGCUUAACUCCAUCAUGGCAGUGGAAACUGUUGGGCUUGAGUGUGGUAGGGGCAGAGGGAAUUCCCGGUGAAGCGGUGAAAUGCGUAGAUAUCGGAAAGAACACCAGUGGCGAAGGCGCUCUGCUGGACCAUUACUGACACUCAUGGACGAAAGCCA